rnacentral:rRNA from 1 species
CCUACGGGAGGCAGCAGUGGGGAAUUUUGGACAAUGGGCGCAAGCCUGAUCCAGCCAUGCCGCGUGCGGGAAGAAGGCCUUCGGGUUGUAAACCGCUUUUGUCAGGGAAGAAAUCCUCUGAGCUAAUACCUCGGGGGGAUGACGGUACCUGGAGAAUAAGCACCGGCUAACUACGUGCCAGCAGCCGCGGUAAUACGUAGGGUGCGAGCGUUAAUCGGAAUUACUGGGCGUAAAGCGUGCGCAGGCGGUUGUGCAAGACAGGUGUGAAAUCCCCGGGCUUAACCUGGGAACUGCACUUGUGACUGCACGGCUGGAGUACGGCAGAGGGGGAUGGAAUUCCGCGUGUAGCAGUGAAAUGCGUAGAUAUGCGGAGGAACACCAAUGGCGAAGGCAGUCCCCUGGGCCUGUACUGACGCUCAUGCACGAAAGCGUGGGGAGCAAACAGGAUUAGAUACCCUGGUAGUCCACGCCCUAAACGAUGUCAACUGGUUGUAGGGAGGGUACCGUUUCAGUACCGUAGCUAACGCGUGAAGUUGACCGCCUGGGGAGUACGGCCGCAAGGGUUGAAACUCAAAGGAAUUGACGG